ensembl:scaRNA
AUGCACCAGAUACGAGCCUGACAGCCUGUUUGUCCUGGAUGUGUUGCACAUUGGGAUUUUUCAAUGGCUGCAUGGCUUCAAAAGGUGCGAUAGCAGCAUUAGCCCUGAGUUUUAAGCUUUUCAGUGACAAGCAACACUGUUGAGUUAUGGCUCAGAGGUACAGCA